rnacentral:rRNA from 1 species
GACGAACGCUGGCGGCGUGCCUAAUACAUGCAAGUUGAGCGCUGAAGGUUGGUACUUGUACCAACUGGAUGAGCAGCGCACGGGUGAGUAACGCGUGGUGAAUCUGCCUUUGAGCGGGGGACAACAUUUGGAAACGAAUGCUAAUACCGCAUAAAAACUUUAAACACAAGUUUUAAGUUUGAAAGAUGCAAUUGCAUCACUCAAAGAUGAUCCCGCGUUGUAUUAGCUAGUUGGUGAGGUAAAGGCUCACCAAGGCGAUGAUACAUAGCCGACCUGAGAGGGUGAUCGGCCACAUUGGGACUGAGACACGGCCCAAACUCCUACGGGAGGCAGCAGUAGGGAAUCUUCGGCAAUGGACGAAAGUCUGACCGAGCAACGCCGCGUGAGUGAAGAAGGUGUUCGGAUCGUAAAACUCUGUUGGUAGAGAAGAACGUUGGUGAGAGUGGAAAGCUCAUCAAGUGACGGUAACGACCCAGAAAGGGACGGCUAACUACGU